rnacentral:rRNA from 1 species
UACAGAGGGUGCAAGCGUUAAUCGGAAUUACUGGGCGUAAAGCGCGCGUAGGCGGCUUUGUAAGUUAGGGGUGAAAUCCCGGAGCUCAACUCCGGAACUGCCUCUAAGACUGCAUCGCUUGAAUCCGGGAGAGGUGAGUGGAAUUCCGAGUGUAGAGGUGAAAUGCGUAGAUAUCAGGAGGAAUACCGGUGGCGAAAGCGACUCUCUGGACGGCAACUGACGCUGAGGCACGAAAGCGUGGGGAGCAAACAGG